rnacentral:rRNA from 1 species
AUUGAACGCUGGCGGCAGGCCUAACACAUGCAAGUCGAACGAGUGGCGGAAGGGUGAGUAAUUUCUGGGAAACUGACUGAUGGAGGGGGAUACCUACUGGAAACGGUAGAUAAUACAGCAUCCCAUCAGAUGUGCACAGAGGGGUUUAGCUUGUUGGUGGGUGAACGGCUCACCAGGGCGACACUCCCUAGCUGGUCUGAGAGGAUGACCAGCCACACUGGAACUGAGACACGGUCCAGACUCCUACGGGAGGCAGCAGUGGGGAAUAUUGCACAAUGGGCGCAAGCCUGAUUCAGCCAUGCCGCGUGUAUGAAGAAGGCCUUCGGGUUGUAAAGUACUUUCAGCGGGGAGGCGUUACCCGCAGAAGAAGCACCGGCUAACUCCGUGCCAGCAGCCGCGGUAAUAC